CAUGAUCUAUUACCUUUCUUUGGAUGUCACUUCUGCCCUCCCUUGCUGAUUGUUAUAAUUCACCAGCACAGUAUAAUACCCUGCAGGUGUUACUCAGGGAGUCCCACUGAAAAAAAAUACUGCAUUAGAGAUGAACUUUGGCUUGCAAAUGGAAUGCAGCUUCAGCUCCUUUUCACCUGCUAGUAAAAAAUGAGGUUCUCAUAUGACGAAAGAGCCAAACUGGGUCUUCAUACUGGCGGUGGAAGGUUGUGGACUGAGUUCAGGAUUAAGAAAAAGCACUUGUGGAAUUCAGACGAGUUCGAGAGAGCUCUCACUUGAAACGCAUGAGAUGCCAAAGUAAUUGCUUCUGUAUGCCACAGGGAAGGGGCGCUUACCCACAGGGGCUUCUGCAGCUUUUAGGGAACAGUAGCUAUCAGAUGGGUUUCCCCAGUGAGGCAGUCCUGUCUGCCCGUUCAUUCCUUCGUCGGGCCGCCCGGUGCCGGCUCCGGGGAGCUCCUUUCUGUCCCUGUCCAUGGGAGGAGCCCGGAGCUGGGGCACCGCCCACCCACCUCUGCCCUGGCCGAGUCCGGGCGCUUACGGGUUUCCCGGGCACCACGGCAGCUCACGGAGGGAGCAGGGAGCCAGAGCUCUUGCCCUCAGGGUGCUUUAUUUUAGAUGAAGUGAGAUAAAAGCAAAGUGAGCCACUACCAAAAAAGCAAAUAAGUCCUCAUUGAGGUAAGUGCUAGGAAGCCCCGGGACAGGAUGCUCGACGGACUUCAAACAGACGGCCCUGCCACCCUGAGCCCUGGAGUCAGUUAUUGGCGCAUGCGACACUGACACGAGGGAAGGGAACCGCGGCGGGUCAGGAAGGAGGGACCAGGGCCGGGCAGGGACCCGGGCCGGAACCACCUCUGCCCGGCAGGCGUGGAGGCGGGGCAGGCGCGGCCAGGAGUCGGAGUCUGGCCCCCUACCCUGAACACAGAGCCGGGAGAGGCGCCGGAGGCCCUGCGAGGGAGGCUGGUGGCCGUCACAGAGCUCCCGACGGCCGGACUGUGGAGAGUGUCCGCCUCAACAGGAGAAAAGACAAACAGUUCCACAGCACUUCACACAAUGCCUGCUAGGUCGCGAUUGUUGGUCGGAGGGGUCGAGGAGCCUGGAUCCCGCCUGAGCUGGGCGUGCGCCAUCGUGGAAGCACCACGGGGAUUGCCAGGACAGGUGACUCACGGCCGGGAGUGAGCGGGCAGGAGCGGCCCCAGCCGGGCCACCAUCACCCAAGCAGGCUGCACAUCUCUCCACUCCACGACUCAGUCUCCUCGUAUGCCAAGUGGGAAUGAUAAAGGUGAGUCUCACAGAACAGGGACAAGGGCGAAAGAAACAGAAAUGCUUGUGUCUGGCCCUGAAGCUCCAAGAGGUGUUUGCCACUAUCAUUGUCUGAAAACAGGAAUCUAAAAGCACCGUGGUGCACACUUGACUCCAGUCCCAGCUACAAGGAGGCUCUUCCUCUCCACAGAGGAGAGCGCUGCACCCGUGGCUCCUCUUUCUGGGAGCAAGGCGCACAGCGUCCCUGGAUGCUGAGCAGAUAUUCCUUCACGUGACACAGUUGGCCUCAAAUCUGACCGGUGCCUGAGCGGCCCGGUCUCCAGGGACAGAGGGCUUUGCCACGUCACUAGUUCACCCUCCCACACCUCAGCCCCUCGCUGGGCCUCGAACCCAGCUGAUACGCAGCCAAUGCCUGACAGGUUUGAAGCCGAGCACCUUUGUCUCGGAGGGCUUACUCCCACAGACAGAGUGGUCCAGGCUGUUGCCAACAGUAGUAGCCAAGCCCCAAAGGGGCAGGUGUGGUCCCUGUGUCUGCCCCAUGUGCCUUCUCUCUUCAGAACAUCUGGACCUGAACUUCAGGGCUGCUUGGAAACUGUAGGGAACCUGGAACCAACAAUUUCUCUCAGCACAGGGACGCACCUUCUGUAUUUCCCUUCCUCACUUGUACCUUUCUCUGAUCGGGAAUAUCUGGGCUCCUCUGUCCAGGCAGAAACCAAGAAUUAAGAGUCUAGUAUAAGGUGGACACACUGACUUAUUGAGUCCCUUGUUUGUUUGCUCAUAGAUUUGGUUUAACUAGAUGAACCAGAUAGUGAACGACAAGAUUAAAUUAGAAAAGGGAUCACUGCAGAGCAGGAACUCAGGGGGCCGAGUGUUAGUAAACAGGAAGGCCGGGCUGCAGCAGAGAGCACUCACAAAGCAUUGAUCACCCAGUAAAGCGGUGGACCGAUUGUCAUUGUGAUUCCAGUAUGACAAAUAAGAGUUUCCUUCGUUAUGCUUGUUACCCUCUGAAAUUACUUCCUUCUAUUUGUAUGUCUCCUCUGAUUGCUGUGUACAUUCCAUGGGACUUUAUUAUUUUGUUUCAGCCCUGUAGAGCUGUGGUGGAGUUUGGCCAAGUCCCAUCCCUGCCUAUUUUGGGAAAUAAAGUUUUAUUGGGAAAC